rnacentral:rRNA from 1 species
CUAAGAAUAUUCCGCAAUGGACGGAAGUCUGACGGAGCGACGCCGCGUGGAUGAAGAAGGCCGAAAGGUUGUAAAGUUCUUUUGCUAGGGGAGAAUAAGUGUGGGAGGGAAUGCCUGCACGAUGACAAGGACUAGCGAAUAAGUCCCGGCCAACUACGUGCCAGCAGCCGCGGUAACACGUAGGGGGCGAGCGUUGUUCGGAAUUACUGGGCGUAAAGGGCAUGUAGGCGGCUUGGUAAGCCUGGCGUGAAAGUCUGCAGCUUAACUGUAGGGAUGCGUUGGGAACUGCUUAGCUUGAGUUACGGAGAGGGAGCUGGAAUUCCUGGUGUAGGGGUGAAAUCUGUAGAUAUCAGGAAGAACACCGAUGGCGAAGGCAAGCUUCUGGCCGACAACUGACGCU